rnacentral:rRNA from 1 species
AACGAACGCUGGCGGCAGGCUUAAUACAUGCAAGUCGAACGAUACCAGAGAGCUUGCUUUCUGGGAAAGUGGCGCACGGGUGCGUAACGCGUAUGCAACCUACCUUAAUCAGGGGGAUAGCCUCUCGAAAGAGAGAUUAACACCGCAUAACAUCAUUUUACGGCAUCGUAGAAUGAUCAAAUAUUUAUAGGAUUAAGAUGGGCAUGCGUGACAUUAGCUAGUUGGUGAGGUAACGGCUCACCAAGGCUACGAUGUCUAGGGGAUCUGAGAGGAUGACCCCCCACACUGGUACUGAGACACGGACCAGACUCCUACGGGAGGCAGCAGUAAGGAAUAUUGGUCAAUGGAGGCAACUCUGAACCAGCCAUGCCGCGUGCAGGAAGACGGCCCUAUGGGUUGUAAACUGCUUUUAUACGGGAAUAAACCUCUCUACGUGUAGGGAGUUGAAUGUACUGUAAGAAUAAGGAUCGGCUAACUCCGUGCCAGCCGCCGCUGUAAGAC